CAGUAGCCGCGGGAAUACAGAGGGUGCGAGCGUUAAUCGGAUUUACUGGGCGUAAAGCGUGCGUAGGCGGCUUCUUAAGUCGGAUGUGAAAUCCCUGAGCUUAACUUAGGAAUUGCAUUCGAUACUGGGAAGCUAGAGUAUGGGAGAGGAUGGUAGAAUUCCAGGUGUAGCGGUGAAAUGCGUAGAGAUCUGGAGGAAUACCGAUGGCGAAGGCAGCCAUCUGGCCUAAUACUGACGCUGAGGUACGAAAGCAUGGGGAGCAAACAGGAUUAGAUACGCCAGUAGUCCCUGUCUCUUAUAC
rnacentral:rRNA from 1 species